rnacentral:misc_RNA from 1 species
GAUGAAGACGUAGUGAAAUGCGAUAAGUAGUGUGAAUUGCAGAAUUCAGUGAAUCAUCGAAUCUUUGAACGCACAUUGCGCCCCUUGGUAUUCCAUGGGGCAUGCCUGUUCGAGCGUCAUUUGUACCUUCAAGCUUUGCUUGGUGUUGGGUGUUUGUCUCGCCUUUGCGUGUAGACUCGCCUUAAAAUAAUUGGCAGCCGGCGUAUUGAUUUCGGAGCGCAGUACAUCUCGCGCUUUGCACUCAUAACGACAGCGUCCAAAAGUACAUUUUACACUCUUGACCUCGGAUCAGGUAGGGAUACCCGCUGAACUUAAGCAUAUCAAUAAGCGGAGGA